AGCGGCGAAAGGGAGAGGACAACAUGGGAAUCUGCCCGGGGGUCGAGGAUAGCGUCGGGAAACUGACGGUAAUACUCGAUAAUGUUUACGGACCAAAGGUUUACUGCCCCUGGAUGAGCCCAUGCCCCAUUAGCUAGUUGGCGGUGUAAUAGACCACCAAGGCGAUGAUGGGUAGCUGGUGUGAGAGCACGACCAGCCUCACUGGCACUGAGACACUGGCCAGACACCUACGGGUGGCUGCAGUCGAGAAUCUUCGGCAAUGGACGAAAGUCUGACCGAGCGACGCCGCGUGCGGGACGAAGGCCUUCGGGUUGUAAACCGCUGUCGAGGGGGAUUGAGGGCAACUUGAAAGAACCCUGGAGGAAGGAGAGGCUAAGCUCGUGCCAGCAGCCGCGGUAAGACGAGCUCUCCAAACGUUAUUCGGUAUCACUGGGCUUAAAGAGUUCGUAGGCGGCUUUACAGGUGGGGUGUGAAAGCCCUCGGCUCAACCGAGGAAUUGCGCCCCAAACCGUAAGGCUUGAGGGAUAUAGGGGUAAGCGGAACAGAUGGUGGAGCGGUGAAAUGCAUUGAUAUCAUCUGGAACACCGGUGGCGAAGGCGGCUUACUGGAUAUUUUCUGACGCUGGGGAACGAAAGCUAGGGUAGCGAACGGGAUUAGAUACCCCGGUAGUCCUAGCCGUAAACGAUGAGCACUAGUUUGA
rnacentral:rRNA from 1 species